rnacentral:misc_RNA from 1 species
AUCUUUGGCAAUAGUUGCAGUCCAUCCUUCAUUCUUUUUAGCGUUGACAGCUGCAUCGAAGUUGACUUUAAUAACAUCUCUCGGUGGAGGAAGAAAAACAGUAGGGAUAUUUGACAGUUGCACUGGGUCCGUUGUAGGUUCUUGAGCUGAUAAAAACUGUGAUGGUAAUUAACAGCUGCUGUAAUUGCCUCCUGUAUAGAAAAAGUUUUUCCAUGGAAAACCAACUCAUUUCGGACCUUCCAUAUCCGCCAAAGAACAAAAACCAGUAGGGUGGUAAGAUUAUCCGCGUUCACCAUCUGAUUAAUAUGAUUAACCAUCCUUGACCAAUAGUCAAUCAUUGAAUCACCCGAUAAAGAGAUGAUCUAGUACCCAAAAGCGAGGA